rnacentral:rRNA from 2 species
GGCUAUCACUUCUGGAUGGUUCCGCGGCGCAUUAGCUUGUUGGUGGGGUAACGGCUCACCAAGGCGAUGAUGCGUAGCCGACCUGAGAGGGUAAUCGGCCACAUUGGGACUGAGACACGGCCCAGACUCCUACGGGAGGCAGCAGUAGGGAAUCUUCCACAAUGGACGCAAGUCUGAUGGAGCAAUGCCGCGUGAGUGAAGAAGGGUUUCGGCUCGUAAAACUCUGUUGUUGAAGAAGAACGGGUGUCAGAGUAACUGUUGACAUCGUGACGGUAUUCAACCAGAAAGCCACGGCUAACUACGUGCCAGCAGCCGCGGUAAUACGUAGGUGGCAAGCGUUGUCCGGAUUUAUUGGGCGUAAAGCGAGCGCAGGCGGUUUCUUAAGUCUGAUGUGAAAGCCUUCGGCUUAACCGAAGAAGUGCAUCGGAAACUGGGGAACUUGAGUGCAGAAGAGGACAGUGGAACUCCAUGUGUAGCGGUGGAAUGCGUAGAUAUAUGGAAGAACACCAGUGGCGAAAGCGGCUGUCUAGUCUGCAACUGACGCUGAGGCUCGAAAGCAUGGGUAGCGAACAGGAUUAGAUACCCUGGUAGUCCAUGCC